GUGAAGCUGGAUUCGCUAGUAAUCGCGCAUCAGCCAUGGCGCGGUGAAUACGUUCCCGGGCCUUGUACACACCGCCCGUCAGGCCAUGGGAGCCGGGGGUGCUUGAAGUGCGUCGCCGCAAGGCGCGCCCUAGAGCAAAACCGGUGACUGGGGCUAAGUCGUAACAAGGUAUC
rnacentral:rRNA from 1 species